UACGGAGGGUGCAAGCGUUGUCCGGAUUUAUUGGGUUUAAAGGGUGUGUGGGCGGCCUUUUAAGUCAGUGGUGAAAUCCCGAGGCUCAACUUCGGAACUGCCAUUGAUACUGGAAGGCUUGAGUUCGGUAGAGGCGGGCGGAACUGGUGGUGUAGCGGUGAAAUGCAUAGAUACCACCAAGAACCCCGAUUGCGAAGGCAGCUCGCUGUGCCGAAACUGACGCUGAGGCACGAAAGCGUGGGGAGCGAACAGG
rnacentral:misc_RNA from 1 species